rnacentral:rRNA from 1 species
AUGAACGCUAGCUACAGGCUUAACACAUGCAAGUCGAGGGGCAGCAUGAACUUAGCUUGCUAAGUUUGAUGGCGACCGGCGCACGGGUGAGUAACACGUAUCCAACCUGCCGAUGACUCGGGGAUAGCCUUUCGAAAGAAAGAUUAAUACCCGAUGGCAUAGUUCUUCCGCAUGGUAGAACUAUUAAAGAAUUUCGGUCAUCGAUGGGGAUGCGUUCCAUUAGGUUGUUGGCGGGGUAACGGCCCACCAAGCCUUCGAUGGAUAGGGGUUCUGAGAGGAAGGUCCCCCACAUUGGAACUGAGACACGGUCCAAACUCCUACGGGAGGCAGCAGUGAGGAAUAUUGGUCAAUGGACGAGAGUCUGAACCAGCCAAGUAGCGUGAAGGAUGACUGCCCUAUGGGUUGUAAACUUCUUUUAUACGGGAAUAAAGUGAGGCACGUGUGCCUUUUUGUAUGUACCGUAUGAAUAAGGAUCGGCUAACUCCGUGCCAGCAGCCGCGGUAAUACGGAGGAUCCGAGCGUUAUCCGGAUUUAUUGGGUUUAAAGGGAGCGUAGGCGGACGCUUAAGUCAGUUGUGAAAGUUUGCGGCUCAACCGUAAAAUUGCAGUUGAUACUGGGUGUCUUGAGUACAGUAGAGGCAGGCGGAAUUCGUGGUGUAGCGGUGAAAUGCUUAGAUAUCACGAAGAACUCCGAUUGCGAAGGCAGCCUGCUGGACUGUAACUGACGCUGAUGCUCGAAAGUGUGGGUAUCAAACAGGAUUAGAUACCCUGGUAGUCCACACCGUAAACGAUGAUUACUAGGUGUUGGAGGAUUGACCCCUUCAGUGCCGCAGUUAACACAAUAAGUAAUCCACCUGGGGAGUACGACCGCAAGGUUGAAACUCAAAGGAAUUGACGGGGGCCCGCACAAGCGGAGGAACAUGUGGUUUAAUUCGAUGAUACGCGAGGAACCGUACCAGGGCUUGAAUUGCAACUGAAUGAUGUGGAGACAUGUCAGCCGCAAGGCAGUUGUGAAGGUGCUGCAUGGUUGUCGUCAGCUCGUGCCGUGAGGUGUCGGCUUAAGUGCCAUAACGAGCGCAACCCUUAUCGAUAGUUACCAUCAGGUUAUGCUGGGGACUCUGUCGAGACUGCCGUCGUAAGAUGUGAGGAAGGUGGGGAUGACGUCAAAUCAGCACGGCCCUUACGUCCGGGGCUACACACGUGUUACAAUGGGGGGUACAGAAGGCAGCUACACGGCGACGUGAUGCUAAUCCCGAAAGCCUCUCUCAGUUCGGAUUGGAGUCUGCAACCCGACUCCAUGAAGCUGGAUUCGCUAGUAAUCGCGCAUCAGCCACGGCGCGGUGAAUACGUUCCCGGGCCUUGUACACACCGCCCGUCAAGCCAUGAAAGCCGGGGGUACCUGAAGUGCGUAACCGCAAGGAGCGCCCUAGGGUAAAACUGGUGAUUGGGGCU